GGUUCACACGGUUUUAUAACUACGCAUAGAUGGAAUGAGACGAUUGGAGCAUUUAUAGAUGUUGAAGCUUCUGGGACCGGAGGCCUCGAUUUGGUUUGCCAAUCUGGACCUGGGUCCUGGCCUUCAUAUGUUUAUGCUCAAUCAGCACUCUAUCCUAUGGCAAAUAGUGCAGCUCAGGAUAUCUUUGGUAUAAUACCUGGUGAUACAGACUACAGAAUGUUUGCACAAGAUUUUGGCGAUAUUCCUGGCCUAGAUAUCAUCUUCCUCCUUGGGGGUUAUUUUUAUCAUACCGCAUCUGAUACUGUUGAAAGACUAUUACCUGGAAGCAUC
rnacentral:misc_RNA from 1 species